GACUAUGGUAAUAAGCUCCAUACUCUUGGGGAAAACAACAUCCCAAAUCCUCAUCUUUAGCAAAAUUUUUGAAGGGUAGGUAGGUUCUAGUAAUAUUAACAACUGGUGUGAUAUUUCAAUGUUUUCCAAUACCAUUUACCUAAUCAGGACAUAUAAUAACGGAAUACAAGACAUGUGAUUUUGUACUCUUGACUCUUGUAAAGUUUUUCAUUCUGAGGUCUGUUUGGUGCCCUAUGAUUUUGUACUGCCGAAUCUUCUAAAGUUCUAAUGCCUGGAUUUUACAUUUCCAUUUUCAAGGGAAUACUGAAUACCAAAACUAAAU
rnacentral:lncRNA from 1 species